rnacentral:rRNA from 1 species
GGGUUGUGAGGUUAAGCGAACAAGCGUACACGGUGGAUGCCCUGGCAGUCAGAGGCGAUGAAGGACGUGCUAAUCUGCGAAAAGCGCCGGUAAGGUGAUAUGAACCGUUAUAACCGGCGAUGUCCGAAUGGGGAAACCCGGUGCACUUCGGUGCAUCAUCGUUAGCUGAAUACAUAGGCUAACGAAGCGAACCGGGGGAACUGAAACAUCUAAGUACCCCGAGGAAAAGAAAUCAACCGAGAUUCCCCCAGUAGCGGCGAGCGAACGGGGAACAGCCCAGAGCCUGAAUCAGCUUGUGUGUCAGUGGAACGGUCUGGAAAGGCCGGCGAUACAGGGUGACAGCCCCGUACACGAAGGCACACAGGCUGUGAGCUCGAUGAGUAGGGCGGGACACGUGAUAUCCUGUCUGAAGAUGGGGGGACCAUCCUCCAAGGCUAAAUACUCCUGACUGACCGAUAGUGAACCAGUACCGUGAGGGAAAGGCGAAAAGAACCCCGGCGAGGGGAGUGAAACAGAACCUGAAACCGUGUACGUACAAGCAGUGGGAGCCUUCGUAAGAGGGUGACUGCGUACCUUUUGUAUAAUGGGUCAGCGACUUAUAUUCUGUAGCAAGGUUAACCGUAUAGGGGAGCCGAAGGGAAACCGAGUCUUAAUUGGGCGUUAAGUUGCAGGGUAUAGACCCGAAACCCGGUGAUCUAGCCAUGGGCAGGUUGAAGGUUGGGUAACACUAACUGGAGGACCGAACCGACUAAUGUUGAAAAAUUAGCGGAUGACCUGUGGCUGGGGGUGAAAGGCCAAUCAAACCGGGAGAUAGCUGGUUCUCCCCGAAAGCUAUUUAGGUAGCGCCUCGUGAACUCAUCUCCGGGGGUAGAGCACUGUUUCGGCUAGGGGGCCAUCCCGGCUUACCAACCCGAUGCAAACUGCGAAUACCGGAGAAUGUUAUCACGGGAGACACACGGCGGGUGCUAACGUCCGUCGUGAAGAGGGAAACAACCCAGACCGCCAGCUAAGGUCCCAAAGUCAUGGUUAAGUGGGAAACGAUGUGGGAAGGCCCAGACAGCCAGGAUGUUGGCUUAGAAGCAGCCAUCAUUUAAAGAAAGCGUAAUAGCUCACUGGUCGAGUCGGCCUGCGCGGAAGAUGUAACGGGGCUAAACCAUGCACCGAAGCUGCGGCAGCGACACUAUGUGUUGUUGGGUAGGGGAGCGUUCUGUAAGCCUGCGAAGGUGUGCUGUGAGGCAUGCUGGAGGUAUCAGAAGUGCGAAUGCUGACAUAAGUAACGAUAAAGCGGGUGAAAAGCCCGCUCGCCGGAAGACCAAGGGUUCCUGUCCAACGUUAAUCGGGGCAGGGUGAGUCGACCCCUAAGGCGAGGCCGAAAGGCGUAGUCGAUGGGAAACAGGUUAAUAUUCCUGUACUUGGUGUUACUGCGAAGGGGGGACGGAGAAGGCUAUGUCAGCCGGGCGACGGUCGUCCCGGUUUAAGCGUGUAGGCUGACUUUCCAGGCAAAUCCGGAAAGUUAAGGCUGAGGCGUGAUGACGAGGCACCACGGUGCUGAAGUGACAAAUGCCCUGCUUCCAGGAAAAGCCUCUAAGCAUCAGGUAACAUCAAAUCGUACCCCAAACCGACACAGGUGGUCAGGUAGAGAAUACCAAGGCGCUUGAGAGAACUCGGGUGAAGGAACUAGGCAAAAUGGUGCCGUAACUUCGGGAGAAGGCACGCUGACAUGUAGGUGAAGCCCCUGCGGGUGGAGCUGAAGUCAGUCGAAGAUACCAGCUGGCUGCAACUGUUUAUUAAAAACACAGCACUGUGCAAACACGAAAGUGGACGUAUACGGUGUGACGCCUGCCCGGUGCCGGAAGGUUAAUUGAUGGGGUUAUCGCAAGAGAAGCUCCUGAUCGAAGCCCCGGUAAACGGCGGCCGUAACUAUAACGGUCCUAAGGUAGCGAAAUUCCUUGUCGGGUAAGUUCCGACCUGCACGAAUGGCGUAAUGAUGGCCAGGCUGUCUCCACCCGAGACUCAGUGAAAUUGAACUCGCUGUGAAGAUGCAGUGUACCCGCGGCAAGACGGAAAGACCCCGUGAACCUUUACUACAGCUUGACACUGAACAUUGAGCCUUGAUGUGUAGGAUAGGUGGGAGGCUUUGAAGCGUGGACGCCAGUCUGCGUGGAGCCAACCUUGAAAUACCACCCUUUAAUGUUUGAUGUUCUAACCUGGCGCCGUGAUCCGGCGUGGGGACAGUGUCUGGUGGGUAGUUUGACUGGGGCGGUCUCCUCCCAAAGUGUAACGGAGGAGCACGAAGGUCAGCUAAUCCUGGUCGGACAUCAGGAGGUUAGUGCAAUGGCAUAAGCUGGCUUGACUGCGAGAGUGACGGCUCGAGCAGGUGCGAAAGCAGGUCAUAGUGAUCCGGUGGUUCUGUAUGGAAGGGCCAUCGCUCAACGGAUAAAAGGUACUCCGGGGAUAACAGGCUGAUACCGCCCAAGAGUUCAUAUCGACGGCGGUGUUUGGCACCUCGAUGUCGGCUCAUCACAUCCUGGGGCUGAAGUAGGUCCCAAGGGUAUGGCUGUUCGCCAUUUAAAGUGGUACGCGAGCUGGGUUUAGAACGUCGUGAGACAGUUCGGUCCCUAUCUGCCGUGGGCGCUGGAGAAUUGAGGGGGGCUGCUCCCAGUACGAGAGGACCGGAGUGGACGCAUCACUGGUGUUCGGGUUGUCAUGCCAAUGGCACUGCCCGGUAGCUAAAUGCGGAAGAGAUAAGUGCUGAAAGCAUCUAAGCACGAAACUUGCCCCGAGAUGAGUUCUCCCUGAGACUGUAAGUCUCCUGAAGGAACGUUGAAGACGACGACGUUGAUAGGCCGGGUGUGUAAGCGCAGCGAUGCGUUGAGCUAACCGGUACUAAUGAACCGUGAGGCUUAACCUUACAACGCCAAAGAAGU